UACGGAAGGGGCUAGCGUUGUUCGGAAUUACUGGGCGCAAAGAGCGCGUAGGCGGCUUACCAAGUUGGGGGUGAAAUCCCGGAGCUCAACUCCGGAACUGCCUUCAAAACUGGUAGGCUCGAGUCCGGAAGAGGGGCGUGGAAUUCCCAGUGUAGAGGUGAAAUUCGUAGAUAUUGGGAAGAACACCGGUGGCGAAGGCGGCGCCCUGGUCCGGUACUGACGGUGGGGCGCGAAAGCGUGGGGAGCAAACAGG
rnacentral:rRNA from 1 species